rnacentral:piRNA from 1 species
UAUUGAUGAAUUGUGGUCUCCCAAGA